rnacentral:rRNA from 1 species
UACGUAGGUCCCGAGCGUUGUCCGGAUUUAUUGGGCGUAAAGAGCGCGCAGGUGGUUAAUUAAGUCUGAUGUGAAAGCCCACGGCUUAACCGUGGAGGGUCAUUGGAAACUGGUUGACUUGAGUGCAGAAGAGGGAAGUGGAAUUCCAUGUGUAGCGGUGAAAUGCGUAGAGAUAUGGAGGAACACCAGUGGCGAAGGCGGCUUCCUGGUCUGCAACUGACACUGAGGCGCGAAAGCGUGGGGAGCAAGCAGG